CUGAUCCAGCCAUGCCGCGUGUGUGAAGAAGGCCUUUUGGUUGUAAAGCACUUUAAGCGAGGAGGAGGCUACCGAGAUUAAUACUCUUGGAUAGUGGACGUUACUCGCAGAAUAAGCACCGGCUAACUCUGUGCCAGCAGCCGCGGUAAUACAGAGGGUGCAAGCGUUAAUCGGAUUUACUGGGCGUAAAGCGCGCGUAGGUGGCCAAUUAAGUCAAAUGUGAAAUCCCCGAGCUUAACUUGGGAAUUGCAUUCGAUACUGGUUGGCUAGAGUAUGGGAGAGGAUGGUAGAAUUCCAGGUGUAGCGGUGAAAUGCGUAGAGAUCUGNGAGGAAUACCGAUGGCGAAGGCAGCCAUCUGGCCUAAUACUGACACUGAGGUGCGAAAGCAUGGGGAGCAAACAGGAUUAGAUACCCUGGUAGUCCAUGCCGUAAACGAUGUCUACUAGCCGUUGGGGCCUUUGAGGCUUUAGUGGCGCAGCUAACGCGAUAAGUAGACCGCCUGGGGAGUACGGUCGCAAGACUAAAACUCAAAUGAAUUGACGGGGGCCCGCACAAGCGGUGGAGCAUGUGGUUUAAUUCGAUGCAACGCGAAGAACCUUACCUGGUCUUGACAUAGUAAGAACUUUCCAGAGAUGGAUUGGUGCCUUCGGGAACUUACAUACAGGUGCUGCAUGGCUGUCGUCNAGCUNNCGUGUNCGNUGAGAUGUUGGGUUAAGUCCCGCAACGAGCGCAACCCUUUUCCUUAUUUGCCAGCGGGUUAAGCCGGGAACUUUAAGGAUACUGCCAGUGACAAACUGGAGGAAGGCGGGGACGACGUCAAGUCAUCAUGGCCCUUACGACCAGGGCUACACACGUGCUACAAUGGUCGGUACAAAGGGUUGCUACCUCGCGAGUGGAUGCUAAUCUCAAAAAGCCGAUCGUAGUCCGGAUUGGAGUCUGCAACUCGACUGCAUGAAGUCGGAAUCGCUAGUAAUCGCGGAUCAGAAUGCCGCGGUGAAUACGUUCCCGGGCCUUGUACACACCGCCCGUCACACCAUGGGAGUUUGUUGCACCAGAAGUAGGUAG
rnacentral:rRNA from 1 species